AUCAUAUCAUUCUCUAAUGGUGUUGGACUUUUUGCCUUUUUCAAGAAAAGGCUGGUCCCAAAAGAUCAUCAGCAAUUAAGGAACGAGAAUUGUCGAAGCGUAAUAGUUGAUCUCUUCCAAAGGGUUGUCUUUCGCUUUAUUUCUCUUUUCUCUUUGCAAAAGUCAUAUCUAUCUAUAUUUAAAGAUAUAGGUAGGUAUAUUUUCA
rnacentral:misc_RNA from 1 species